GACGAACGCUGGCGGCGUGCUUAACACAUGCAAGUCGAACGGAAAGGCUCCAGGUUGCUGGAGUCCGCGAGUGUCGAACGGGUGAGUAACACGUGUGGGAUCUGUCCUGCACUUCGGGAUAUGACUGGGAAACUGGGUCUAAUACCGGAUAUGACCGCACUUUGGUGAGGGUGGUGGAAUGGAAUUUCUUGUGUGGGCUGGGCUCGCGGCCUAUCGGUUGUAUGGGGGAGUAAUGGCAUACAAGGACGGCGACGGGUAGCCGGCCUGAGAGGGUGGACGGGCACCAUAGUACUGCGAUACGGCGCAGACUCCUACGGGCGGCAGCAGUGGGGAGUAUUGCACAAUGGGGGCGACCCUGAUGCAGCGACGCUGCGUGCGGGAUGAACGCCUUCGGGUUGUAAACGCCUUUCGCUAGGGACGAAGCUUUUUGUGACGGUACCUUGAGAAGAAGCACCGGCUAACUACGUG
rnacentral:rRNA from 1 species